CUGUUGCCAAUAACGCACACCAUGCAUUUGUGUUUCUCUAUGGAGCCUACUGUGCAACAACUGUACUAGCAACACCCAUUGUAGUAUGUACAGCCUGUUGCUUGUAUAGGUUGUCCUAAGGGUCCUAAGACACCCCU
rfam:Erinaceus europaeus unplaced genomic scaffold scaffold00531, whole genome shotgun sequence